UUAUAAGAGACAGCAGUAGCCGCGGGAAUACGAAGGGGGCUAGCGUUGCUCGGAAUCACUGGGCGUAAAGGGUGCGUAGGUGGGUCUUUAAGUCAAGGGUGAAAUCCUGGAGCUCAACUCCAGAACUGCCUUUGAUACUGAAGAUCUUGAGUUCGGGAGAGGUGAGUGGAACUGCGAGUGUAGAGGUGAAAUUCGUAGAUAUUCGCAAGAACACCAGUGGCGAAGGCGGCUCACUGGCCCGAUACUGACGCUGAGGCACGAAAGCGUGGGGAGCAAACAGGAUUAGAUACCCGCGUAGUCCCUGUCUCUUAUCA
rnacentral:rRNA from 1 species